GAUGAACGCUGGCGGCGUGCUUAACACAUGCAAGUCGAACGGACAGGCCCUGCUCUUGUUGGUUGCUCGAUUGGCGAACGCGUGUGUAUCACGUGUGUAACCUGCCCUUGUCUUUGUGAUAACUUCAGGAAACUGGGGCUAAUAUCGGAUAUGAUCUCCUGCUGCGUGGUGGGGGUUGGAAAGUUUCGGCGUUUGGGGAUGGACUCGCGGCUUAUCAGCUUGUUGGUCUGGUAGUGGCUUUCCAAGGCUUAGACGGCUAGCCGGCAUGGGAGCGUGACCGGGGGCAUGGGUCCUAAGGGAGGGACCAGACUGCAACGGGAGGCAACGGUGGGAAGUAUGGCGCAGUGGCCGGGAGCCUGAUACAGCAGCGCCGCGUGCGGAAUGACGGCCUUUGGGGUAAAAACAGAUUUCGCAUGAGCCAAGGCGUGAGUGACGGUACUGAAUAAAGAAGCACCGGCUAACUACGUG
rnacentral:rRNA from 1 species